UCACAGGCGAAAGAGCUUCACAUGGAAGAGCUGGAGCUCACGUCCCAGAUCACGUCUGCCGUGCCGAUGGUCACCGAGGCUGACAUCCAGCGCGUCGUCUCCUCAUCAACAGGCAUCCCCGUGGAGAGGGUCUCCGCGGACGAGUCGGCCGGGCUGCGAACGAUGGAGGAGACCCUACACCGGCGCGUCGUCGGCCAGGACGAGGCCGUCAAGGCGGUGAGCCGCGCCAUGCGCCGCUCGCGCGCCGGCCUCCGGGACACCGGCCGGCCGAUCGCCAGCUUCGUGUUCGCCGGCCCGACGGGCGUGGGCAAGACGGAGGUCGUCAAGGCGCUCGCCGCGUGCAACUACGGCUCGGAGGAGGCCAUGGUCCGGCUCGACAUGAGCGAGUACAGCGAGCGGCACGCGGCCGCGAAGCUGGUAGGGGCGUCCCCGGGCUACGUCGGGUACGAGGAGGGCGGGCAGCUGACGGAGGCGGUGCGCCGGCGGCCGCACGCGGUGGUGCUGUUCGACGAGAUCGAGAAGGCGCACAAGGACGUGUACAACCUGCUGCUGCAGGUGCUGGAGGACGGCAAGGGGAGGACGGUGGACUUCCGGAACACGAUCAUCAUCAUGACGUCCAACGCCGGCAGCGGCGGCGACGGGGAGAUGACGGGCGUGAUGGUCGAGAAGGACAUGAAGGAGAAGCACGGGUUCCCACCGGAGUUCCUGAACCGGCUGGACGAGGUGAUCGUGUUCCGGGAGCUCACCAAGCCGGAAAUAAAGGAGAUCGCCUCCAAGAUGCUGGAGGAGGUCGUCCGCCGGAUGAGGGAGAAGGGGAUGGAGCUGCGGGUGACGGAGAGGUUCAAGGAGCUGGUGGCCGAGGAAGGCUACGACCGCAGCUACGGCGCGCGGCCGCUGCGGAGGGCCAUCACCAGGCUGCUGGAGGACAGGCUCGUAGACAUGAUGCUCGCCGGGGAGGCCAGCGAAUGGGAUUCGUUGACUGUAGAUGUUGACUCCGAUGGGAACGUGGUCGUCCACAACCGACGGGUUGAA
rnacentral:rRNA from 1 species